AGUCGAGGGGUAUAGUUCUUCGGAAUUAGAGACCGGCGCACGGGUGCGUAACGCGUAUGCAAUCUACCUUUUACAGGGGAAUAGCCCAGAGAAAUUUGGAUUAAUGCCCCAUAGUAUAAUUUAUUCGCAUGAAUAGAUUAUUAAAGUUCCAACGGUAAAAGAUGAGCAUGCGUCCCAUUAGCUAGAUGGUAAGGUAACGGCUUACCAUGGCGACGAUGGGUAGGGGUCCUGAGAGGGAGAUCCCCCACACUGGUACUGAGACACGGACCAGACUCCUACGGGAGGCAGCAGUGAGGAAUAUUGGUCAAUGGACGCAAGUCUGAACCAGCCAUGCCGCGUGCAGGAUGACGGUCCUAUGGAUUGUAAACUGCUUUUGUACGAGAAGAAACACUCCGACGUGUCGGAGCUUGACGGUAUCGUAAGAAUAAGGAUCGGCUAACUCCGUGCCAGCAGCCGCGGUAAUACGGAGGAUCCAAGCGUUAUCCGGAAUCAUUGGGUUUAAAGGGUCCGUAGGCGGUCAGAUAAGUCAGUGGUGAAAGCCCAUCGCUCAACGGUGGAACGGCCAUUGAUACUGUCUGACUUGAAUUAUUAGGAAGUAACUAGAAUAUGUAGUGUAGCGGUGAAAUGCUUAGAGAUUACAUGGAAUACCAAUUGCGAAGGCAGGUUACUACUAAUUGAUUGACGCUGAUGGACGAAAGCGUGGGUAGCGAACAGGAUUAGAUACCCUGGUAGUCCACGCCGUAAACGAUGGAUACUAGCUGUUGGGAGCAAUCUCAGUGGCUAAGCGAAAGUGAUAAGUAUCCCACCUGGGGAGUACGUUCGCAAGAAUGAAACUCAAAGGAAUUUGACGGGGCCCCG
rnacentral:rRNA from 1 species